rnacentral:rRNA from 1 species
AUUGAACGCUGGCGGCAGGCUUAACACAUGCAAGUCGAGCGGAGAUGAGGUGCUUGCACCUUAUCUUAGCGGCGGACGGGUGAGUAAUGCUUAGGAAUCUGCCUAUUAGUGGGGGACAACAUUCCGAAAGGAAUGCUAAUACCGCAUACGCCCUACGGGGGAAAGCAGGGGAUCUUCGGACCUUGCGCUAAUAGAUGAGCCUAAGUCGGAUUAGCUAGUUGGUGGGGUAACGGCCUACCAAGGCGACGAUCCGUAGCGGGUCUGAGAGGAUGAUCCGCCACACUGGGACUGAGACACGGCCCAGACUCCUACGGGAGGCAGCAGUGGGGAAUAUUGGACAAUGGGCGGAAGCCUGAUCCAGCCAUGCCGCGUGUGUGAAGAAGGCCUUUUGGUUGUAAAGCACUUUAAGCGAGGAGGAGGCUACCUGGAUUAAUACUCUAGGAUAGUGGACGUUACUCGCAGAAUAAGCACCGGCUAACUCUGUGCCAGCCGCCGCCGUAAUAC